rnacentral:rRNA from 1 species
CCUACGGGUGGCAGCAGUGAGGAAUAUUGGUCAAUGGACGAGAGUCUGAACCAGCCAAGUAGCGUGAAGGAUGACUGCCCUAUGGGUUGUAAACUUCUUUUAUAAAGGAAUAAAACGAGGCACGUGUGCCUUUUUGCAUGUACUUUAUGAAUAAGGAUCGGCUAACUCCGUGCCAGCAGCCGCGGUAAUACGGAGGAUCCGAGCGUUAUCCGGAUUUAUUGGGUUUAAAGGGAGCGUAGAUGGGUUGUUAAGUCAGUUGUGAAAGUUUGCGGCGCAACCGUAAAAUUGCAAUUGAUACUGGCAGUCGUGAGUACAGUUGAGGUAGGCGGAAUUCGUGGUGUAGCGGUGAAAUGCUUAGAUAUCACGAAGAACCCCGAUUGCGAAGGCAGCUUACUAAACUGUGACUGACAUUGAUGCUCGAAAGUGUGGGUAUCAAACAGGAUUAGAUACCCCUGUAGUC